UCCUGCUUAUAACAGCAGAGAUGAGAAAAUGCAAUCAUUAGGAAAGAAUAAACCUGACCAGCAGGUGGAUCAUGUUUUUCUCUUCUAGAAUAUUUCCAUUGCUACUAAUGUUAAGCAAUAAAGAGACAUUGAUGGCCAUGGAAGAGACUAUAUUAUAAGAAAAAUGCAGGAUUAAAGAAUGUAAAGGGCUAUUUGUACUAAACAGAUUAAGCUGCUAGUAAACAUGUCCCCUUUAAAUUAAGUGGUGGUGAAGACAAAGGAAGUGCUUUGUUGUUGUCAGCUGGAUUUGUCUUAAGUCAAAUGGGCAAACAACUUAAACAUCAGUCCUCUUUAAAAUCCCUAAUGGCUGUGCAGAUUACAUCUGAAAAGCUUUACAGAACUUUGUUUUCAACCUGCAUUAGCAUACAAAUAUUAAACAAGAAUUUCACUUCUCUCCAGUCUUGUCACUUGUGAUGAAUACAUCCUUGCUUGGAACAGUAAAACAAACAGAAGUUGUGUUUUUCUGACCUGGCACUAAUAAAAUGUGUGGGUGCAGCAUGCAUUUCAGAAUCACAGACUGCUGCCAUCAGCCAUCACCAUGAUGCCCACUCACACAACCCACUGAAAUAUGUCCCUCAGUGCCACAGGUAGAGGAUACCAAGAGCCCACAUAGCCUUGUAUCAGUGUGGAAUGAAUUCAAGAUAAUGCACUGUGAGUUCACCUUCCAUCCUACUGUCUACAGUAGGAAUUCAUAUGGUUUGGUUUCUGUCAGGAAGAGAUCCUGGAUGAAC